rnacentral:rRNA from 1 species
AUGAACGCUAGCGGCAGGCUUAAUACAUGCAAGUCGAGGGGCAUCGGGUGUAGCAAUACAUGCCGGCGACCGGCGCACGAGUGCGUAACACGUAUACAAUCUGCCUUUAACAGGAGGAUAGCCCGGAGAAAUCCGGAUUAAUACUCCAUAACAGUAGAGCAAGCAUUUGCUUUAUUUGAAAGCUCCGGCGGUUAAAGAUGAGUAUGCGUCUGAUUAGCUAGUUGGUAGUGUAACGGACUACCAAGGCAACGAUCAGUAGGGGAUCUGAGAGGACUACCCCCCACACUGGUACUGAGACACGGACCAGACUCCUACGGGAGGCAGCAGUAAGGAGUAUUGGACAAUGCCCGCAAGGGUGAUCCAGCCAUGCCGCGUGCAGGAAGAAGGCCCUAUGGGUCGUAAACUGCUUUUGAACAAGAGAAAACCCUCCUACGUGUAGGAGGCUGAUAGUAUUGUUAGAAUAAGCAUCGGCUAACUUCGU